UCCGGACUUCUCCUUUUCAGAUCUAAUUUUUCUGAGUUCUCUCUUUCUCAAUCGAUGAAGGACUCCCAGUGAUGGAUUGCAACACUCCCAAUCCAAUCUGAGGGUGGAAUGGCAUUCGUGUUCUUAGCAAGGGAGAAUUUCAUUAUCUCGAGCUUGAAUUGGUCCUCUCACUCAUCUACGCAGAAGAUUUGUGGAGCGUUUUUACUUCUUUGUUCAAGUUAUGAAUAGAAUAACACAAAAUUCUGAACCUCUCAUCUUGGUCCUCCUCGUCAGUGAUUCCAGGGCACUGGGUUAAUGAAUUUUGAUAGGAGGCAUGGGUUUCAAGAUGCCAACUCCCCAGAUGAAUGCAGGUAAAUCAAUGGAGACUACAGCUGAGAAAGAAAACAAGGUAGAUAAGGCUGGGGAUUUGGCCCUCUUUGCUAAAGGAACAUACAGAGUCAACUAGAGAUGAUGAUGGUGAUGUCUGAUGGUGUUGAUGAUGAUGAAGAUAGGAGGAUGUGGAGGGUGUUCUUAAUUUUGCAGCUCUUUGUACUAUCAGUCACAUUUUGGACGGACCAUUUCAGAAUCAUUCAACCAAAGCUCUUUGCAGA